AUCAUGGCUCAGAUUGAACGCUAGCGGGAUGCCUUACACAUGCAAGUCGAACGGCAGCACGGGAGCAAUCCUGGUGGCGAGUGGCGAACGGGUGAGUAAUAUAUCGGAACGUGCCCAGUAGUGGGGGAUAGCCCGGCGAAAGCCGGAUUAAUACCGCAUACGACCUGAGGGUGAAAGCGGGGGAUCGCAAGACCUCGCGCUAUUGGAGCGGCCGAUAUCAGAUUAGCUAGUUGGUGGGGUAAAGGCCUACCAAGGCUACGAUCUGUAGUUGGUCUGAGAGGACGACCAGCCACACUGGGAUUGAGACACGGCCCAGACUCCUACGGGAGGCAGCAGUGGGGAAUUUUGGACAAUGGGCGCAAGCCUGAUCCAGCAAUGCCGCGUGCAGGAAGAAGGCCUUCGGGUUGUAAACUGCUUUUGUCAGGGAAGAAAUCUUCUGGGCUAAUACCCCGGGAGGAUGACGGUACCUGAAGAAUAAGCACCGGCUAACUACGUG
rnacentral:rRNA from 1 species